rnacentral:miRNA from 10 species
AUGAGCCGCCGGAUCUCCCAGUGAGGAGGCCGGGGCCGCUGAAUCCGGUGACCCCGGUCUGCUCGCUGGCGGAUCCGGCGCAAAGA